rnacentral:lncRNA from 1 species
UGUUGUUAUGUUUCAGGACACUAACCUUCCAAUAUGUAUGGCCCUCUUUGGCUCGUUUCAGUGUGCAAUAUGUCCAUCGUGUUACAACGAAGUUCCAGAACAAUAUGAAUCAAAAUCAACAUAAAUGAACAACAUUUAUAACCAGAUUUUACCAAUGGUAUUAUAUAGUAUAGUACAUGUACAAGUAUUAACGUACCUGUAAAUCUAAUUAG